AAGGAUCAUUACCGAGUUCAGGAGGGCUUCAAACCCCUCUCCUCCCAUCCUUGUUUAUCUAUAAGCUGUAAAGCAGCUUUGGUGGGCCAUCUCCGCCUGGGGAUGCCGGCUUUGUGCUGGCUUGCGCCUGCCGAAGUAACCAAACUCUGAUAAUUGUGCAGUCUGAGAACAUGAUAAAUAAUCAAAACUUUCAACAACGGAUCUCUUGGUUCUGACAUCGAUGAAGAACGCAGCGUAGCCAGCACCGAUGUGGAAGUAAAAGUCGUAACAAG
rnacentral:misc_RNA from 1 species